rnacentral:rRNA from 1 species
AGAGUUUGAUCCUGGCUCAGGAUGAACGCUGGCGGCGUGCCUAACACAUGCAAGUCGAGCGAUUUACUUCGGUAAAGAGCGGCGGACGGGCGAGUAACGCGUGGGUAACCUGCCCUGUACACACGGAUAACAUACCGAAAGGUAUGCUAAUACGAGAUAAUAUGCUUUUAUCGCAUGGUAGAAGUAUCAAAGCUUUUGCGGUACAGGAUGGACCCGCGUCUGAUUAGCUAGUUGGUAAGGUAACGGCUUACCAAGGCGACGAUCAGUAGCCGACCUGAGAGGGUGAUCGGCCACAUUGGAACUGAGACACGGUCCAAACUCCUACGGGAGGCAGCAGUGGGGAAUAUUGCACAAUGGGCGAAAGCCUGAUGCAGCAACGCCGCGUGAGCGAUGAAGGCCUUCGGGUCGUAAAGCUCUGUCCUCAAGGAAGAUAAUGACGGUACUUGAGGAGGAAGCCCCGG